rnacentral:rRNA from 1 species
CCCCACUGCUAUCGGGAUAGGACUAAGACAUGCUAGUCGCGUGCCUCAGCUAAAACGAGGCACGGCGCACAGCUCAGUAGCACGUGGCUAAUCUGCCCUUGGGACGAGAAUACCCCCGGGAAACUGGGGCUAAUUCGCGAUAGGCGAAGAACACUGGAAUGUGUCUUCACCUAAAAGACCCUACGUUAUGCUCGUAGAAGUCGCCUAAGGAUGAGGCCGCGACCGAUCAGGUUGUUGGUGAGGUAAUGGCUCACCAAGCCUUUUACCGGUGCGGGCCGUGAGAGCGGGAGCCCGGAGAUGGGUACUGAGACAAGGACCCAGGCCCUACGGGGCGCAGCAGUCGCGAAACCUUUGCAAUACACGAAAGUGUGACAGGGCUAUCCCGAGUGCCAUCCGCUGAGGAAGGCUUUUACCCAGUCUAGAAAGCUGGGGGAAUAAGGAGAGGGCAAGUCUGGUGU